rnacentral:rRNA from 1 species
GACGAACGCUGGCGGCGUGCUUAACACAUGCAAGUCGAACGGAAAGGCCCCCACCUUGGUGGGGGUGCUCGAGUGGCGAACGGGUGAGUAACACGUGGGUGAUCUGCCCUGUACUUCGGGAUAAGCUUGGGAAACUGGGUCUAAUACCGGAUAGGACCAUGGUUUAGUGUCUCAUGGUGGAAAAAUUAUUGUUUUGGUGCAGGAUGAGCUCGCGGCCUAUCAGCUUGUUGGUGGGGUAAUGGCCUACCAAGGCGUCGACUGGUAGCCGGCCUGAGAGGGUGGACGGCCACAUUGGGACUGAGAUACGGCCCAGACACCUACGGGAGGCAGCAGUGGGGAAUAGUGCAGAAUGGGCGCAAGCCUGAUGCAGCGACGCCGCGUGGGGGAUGACGGCCUUCGGGUUGUAAACUCCUUUCGUUAGGGACGAAGCCACACCUUUUUUGGGUGUGGUGACGGUACCUUUGUUAAGAAGCACCGGCUAACUACGUG